rnacentral:rRNA from 1 species
CGGCGUGCCUAAUACAUGCAAGUCGAGCGAACGGACGAGAAGCUUGCUUCUCUGAUGUUAGCGGCGGACGGGUGAGUAACACGUGGAUAACCUACCUAUAAGACUGGGAUAACUUCGGGAAACCGGAGCUAAUACCGGAUAAUAUUUGAACCGCAUGGUUCAAAAGUGAAAGACGGUCUUGCUGUCACUUAUAGAUGGAUCCGCGCUGCAUUAGCUAGUUGGUAAGGUAACGGCUUACCAAGGCAACGAUGCAUAGCCGACCUGAGAGGGUGAUCGGCCACACUGGAACUGAGACACGGUCCAGACUCCUACGGGAGGCAGCAGUAGGGAAUCUUCCGCAAUGGGCGAAAGCCUGACGGAGCAACGCCGCGUGAGUGAUGAAGGUCUUCGGAUCGUAAAACUCUGUUAUUAGGGAAGAACAUAUGUGUAAGUAACUGUGCACAUCUUGACGGUACCUAAUCAGAAAGCCACGGCUAACUACGUGCCAGCAGCCGCGGUAAUACGUAGGUGGCAAGCGUUAUCCGGAAUUAUUGGGCGUAAAGCGCGCGUAGGCGGUUUUUUAAGUCUGAUGUGAAAGCCCACGGCUCAACCGUGGAGGGUCAUUGGAAACUGGAAAACUUGAGUGCAGAAGAGGAAAGUGGAAUUCCAUGUGUAGCGGUGAAAUGCGCAGAGAUAUGGAGGAACACCAGUGGCGAAGGCGACUUUCUGGUCUGUAACUGACGCUGAUGUGCGAAAGCGUGGGGAUCAAACAGGAUUAGAUACCCUGGUAGUCCACGCCGUAAACGAUGAGUGCUAAGUGUUAGGGGGUUUCCGCCCCUUAGUGCUGCAGCUAACGCAUUAAGCACUCCGCCUGGGGAGUACGACCGCAAGGUUGAAACUCAAAGGAAUUGACGGGGACCCGCACAAGCGGUGGAGCAUGUGGUUUAAUUCGAAGCAACGCGAAGAACCUU